UACAGUACUAGAGUACCAUGUAAUACACACGGUAUUGAUGGAAAAUAAGCAAGAGCUGCCUAACACAACCUGAGGCAAUCAAGGAGACCCCUGUGGAGGUGGUGAUGCCUACACUGAGCCUUAGAGUUGGCAAAGAAGUUAGCCAAGUGAAAGGUGAAGAAUCAAUACUCCAGCUUGAGGGAAGCAUGCAAAGAAAGGGGCGAAGUAACUGAAAUCACGGUAUAUGGAAGGAACCUGUGAUAACUCCACAUUGUAGGAGGUAGGACGUGAUGAGGUUUCUUCCACAGGGGUGACUGCUUGCUAGUUGAUAAGCUUAGAUGCAAAAGACCUUGGACUUUAUCCUAAAGGCAAAUGGAGAAUGUCUAGGCUUGAAAGAUUUAAUGCAGUUUCCAAGAUCUGAUAUGCAAAGUUAAGAACAACUUAGAUUCUACACAAACCAGAACAUUAAAUGCCAUAAAAUUGUAGUCAACAUAGCUAUGUAUACACUGAUUCAAACAUUCCAUGGGUCAUGUCUACAGCCGGGUGUUAGAAGAAAUGAUCUCUGAGAUAAAUCCAGCCAAGAUUCUAUUUUCUGAUUCCAAACGCCCAACAAAACUGUCGACCUGGAUCCGUCCUUUUGAAAGCAAUGAAGCAUACCACAGGACAAAUAGCACAGUGUUACCAACGUAUAAUCGUAAAAUGAAAAGAGCAUUUAAAGGGCUGUGGAAUCAAAGGCCAGUGGCGGACAUGGGCCUCAUUCUCACUCGUCCAACUUCUCUUUCCAGCAAACCAUACCUUUUCUGCAAUUGUAGCUCAUCAUGUCAGAUGAAUGAAACUGAUUAAGGCAACUCUCUCCUGCCAACUUCACCAUAUUUGGAUGCAGCGUCUCAUCCUUCCAUCUCACCUGUCCAGAAAUGAUGCCUGGGCUGUGAGACCAUUCCUGUGGCCAUGAAGGAAACCUCCAAAGAAUCAGAGACCUUGGUGCUAGCAUUGCUGAGUCCCUGAAUCAGUGCCAACAACAACCCACCUACAUAUUUUGCAUCCUCUAUGAAAAACAACCCCCUUUGAAUUCAGGUUUUCUAACACAUACAGCCAAAAGCCUACCUGGCUGAUACAUUUAUAGACUACAUUGCUGUUGAGACUGCCCGAGAGACACCUGUCUGCAGAGCUCAUGUUUACCCAUUAUCACUUGUGCCUGCUUUCUUUUCCCAGGGUAUAACGAGUUCCUUGGUGUGCUCCUGUUGCUAUUUUCAGUCUUCCACCUCUCCUUGCAUAAGUCAAAACUUGGGAAUAUCCAGGCAGCCUUUCCUUCCAGCUCUUCCCCAUACCUUCUGCUUGCUCCCAAGUGCUAAUCUCACUUCCAGCUAUUUAUGCUGCAGGCUCUUCAUUUCUUGCCUUCCAAGCAGCCACAUUCUGGGUGAUACAGAACCAGGGUACCUGUUACUGGUGCUACUAAAUACCCCAACACAAACAUCACAAGAUUCCUUUUCAGUGUCACCAGGAGUAGGGACAUUCAUCUUCCCAUUAAAGACAAAUUAACCACUUGCCUGUCUCUACCUUGUCAGUUUUACUACCUUAGUCUCCACCGGUUCUCAAAAAGCCCUCCUGCCCACUCAGUCCUUCAUCCCUGCCUGCUCUCUGUUGAAGUCUGUUCCGCUCCAUACCCAACAACACUGGUAAAGGCUGCGCCAUCUUUGAAUAGUGUUUCCAUUUAUUAUUUUGUGUUAUUGUUAUUUAGACAAUCAAAUCGUUCACUUAAAUGAAUACAUUAUGAACAUAUUUUAAAUUGCCUAUGGACUUAUUUAAGAUAACAAUUCCUCAGAUCUAAAAUUAUUUACCCAUUUUUGUUAAAAAAGGAAAAAUUGGGGCUUGAAUUAGGUGAUUGAUAAUUUUAUUUUUCUUCAUAAAAUUAGCCCAUAUUCUGAAAAUGUUUAAUAUCAUAUAAAAAAUUAUAGUCAUAUGGGUUAAACCAUAAUGUCAGUAAAACAGCAUCUACAUUAGUCUGGGGGAAAAAAACUAUAUUCUGCCACCAGCAGAAAGAUGAAUUUUGUUGGCCUUUGAAAGUCAGAGGAUUAACUAGUGUUUGGGGGGAAAUGUUUUAAAAGAUACAGAACCUGUCUUAUUUUCUGCUUCAUGAACUAGUAACACAAACACUGGAGAGGCUGUGAUGGGUGUGUUCCAGCUGUCUGCUAACAGAUGAGGCUUUUGAGGUUGUGAGCCAAAGGAACAGCAAACACCAUUCUGUGUUUAAUAAGCCUUAUACUCUCCAGUAUUGAGAUUACCCGUGACAGAGUUAAAACUUGGUGGGGAAAAAAAAAAAGUUAUUCCAAGCCACUGGCACAACAUAAGAUCCUGCCAUUGUAAAGGAAUCACAUGGAUUGUGAAGGAAGCAAUUGUGAAAG
rnacentral:lncRNA from 1 species